GAUGUGCUGUGUUGUUGAACAGUGUUUACAGAAGGUCGUGGAACCAGGUUGGGCGUUUUUAAUACAACGGAGAAAAUGAAAAUUUUGCAGAGACAAAAGAACGUGAUCUAUAUUGGUUUAGAUGACAUCAAAUCUGAAGGCGUGUUCAUAUGGCACAAUGGUCAAAGGCUAAAACAUCCUCACAAAAGUGGUUUAUUUAAUAUAUAUGAGCCAAGUAAUAGUGAAGGAGUUGAAGACUGCGUUGUCUUACAAGGGCGCUUACUCAAUGAUGUACCGUGCACUAUGUCAUACCUUUUCGUGUGUGAAUUAGAACUUUAGUACUUUAGCAUAACGAAACGCUAUAAAUAGCAAUCGGGUGUACGAAAUAAAUGAAUUGUUGAUUA
rnacentral:sRNA from 1 species